UCGCGCAAACUUUGCAAUACACGCAAGUGUGACAGGGCUAUCCCGAGUGCCGUCCGCUGAGGAUGGCUUUUACUCAGUCUAGAACGCUGGGAGAAUAAGGAGAGGGCAAGUCUGGUGUCAGCCGCCGCGGUAAUACCAGCUCUCCGAGUGGUGUGGAUGUUUAUUGGGCCUAAAGCAUCCGUAGCUGGCCAAGUUAGUCCCCUGUUAAACCCACCGAAUCAAUCGUUGGAUUGCGGGGGAUACUGCUCGGCUAGGGGACGAGAGAGGCAGACGGUAUUUUCGGGGUAGGGGUGAAAUCCUAUAAUCCCGGGAAGACCACCAGUGGCGAAGGCUGUCUGCUAGAACGAGCCCGACGGUGAGGGAUGAAAGCUGGGGGAGCGAACCGGAUUAGAUACCCGGGUAGUCCCAGCUGUAAACGAUGCAGGCUAGGUGUAUCGAUGACCACGAGUCAUCGAGGUGCCGAAGGGAACCGUGAAACGCGCCGCCUGGGAAGUACGGUCGCAAGGCUGAAACUUAAAGGU
rnacentral:rRNA from 1 species